UGAGUUCAAGCGAGCACUCGUACGAGCAAACACCUGGUUGCAAUCUUAGAACUGCUAAUUUUAUGAAUUUGAUGCAUUUAAAGCAUCCACCACUGAGUAGUUAAUGUAUGAUGAAACAUGUAGUUAAUUUGGAAUUGUCUCUAUAUUGUCUGGAGUAAUUUAUGUUUUUAAGUUUGCUUUGUUUCAGGAUGGCUUGGGUUAGGGCAGUGUGGCAAGAAAGGAAAAGGCAAGAAGAAGGGACGGUGCCAGACAGCUGGGUAGACACAGAAAAAAUGUUACUGUUCUGGCCAAAUAUUGCAAAUGCAGCAAGACAUUUGAAGGAACGCCGCAAAACAGAGGGUUGGAGAAAGUUUCCUCUUCUGAAAGAGAAGAUGAGAUCUGAUGAUAGUGGUCACAGUGAGGAAGAGUUUGAUGAAGAAGACGUCCAAGGAAAUUGUUGACAUCUCAACAGUGAUGAAGGUUAUGGCAAACUUCAAUAUGAAGGGCGGGAAGGGCAAGCUUGCCUUCACGAAGCUCCGGCUCUUCACUGUUGUUACAGAGAGUAUUCAGAGGACGACUGCAGAAACGGAGGCAUGCAUUGCAGCGGCUGUCGCCUUCUGUUUGAAAUAUGCCCCAGACAGGGUGGAAGAAAAAAGAACGUUUCUUUUAAGUUCAUGAGUGGGGUCUGAGACAGUUUGAAAAAUGAAUGAAAACUACAUUUUUAACAAAACUCAACAAACAUUAUACCUGCUAAACACCAGCAUGUUAGCAUUGACAUUUUCCGAGAGUAUUUGAAGUAUUUUUUAGGUUUGGAUUGGCGUUCGGGCUGUGCUUCAUUAUCAACCACUAAACAAUUUUGCUGUUGGCCUAUAUAAAAUUGUGUAUAUUAAUCACAUUCAUCAGUUAGGUUUCAGGUAGGAGAUAUGUAAAUCUGUGUUUUAUUUCUUUUUGUACUUAAAAUCUCAAUCAUUCUCUGUUCCCUAGAUGUCUCUCUGGGCACUCAAAGGAAUUUGAGAAAUUUGCUAAGCUGUGAUUAACCUGAAACCCUCAAACUCACCCUCAGUUCUGUCCCAAUUAAAUAUCUGUCCGUGUUGGCAUUGAAAGGAUAUUCUAUUCCAGUAAAAGGAAAUCAAAACCACAAGUUUUACAAUAAAGCGUUUAUUUUCUUAACUCAA